rnacentral:rRNA from 1 species
CAGUCGCCGCGGUAAUACGUAGGGUGCGAGCGUUAAUCGGAAUUACUGGGCGUAAAGCGUGCGCAGGCGGUUCGUUAAGACAGAUGUGAAAUCCCCGGGCUUAACCUGGGAACCGCAUUUGUGACUGGCGAGCUAGAGUAUGGCAGAGGGGGGUAGAAUUCCACGUGUAGCAGUGAAAUGCGUAGAGAUGUGGAGGAAUACCGAUGGCGAAGGCAGCCCCCUGGGCCAAUACUGACGCUCAUGCACGAAAGCGUGGGGAGCAAACAGGAUUAGAUACCCGUGUAGUCCCUGUCUCUUAUAC